rnacentral:lncRNA from 7 species
UUGCAGAAGGUAGCUGCUUUGCUGUGUCACUUCUUAAAGAGCAUCCCUGCCAAAUUUCAGAAUUUUAAUCUCUUCACUAUUGACUCUGGGUGCUGUCGGCCCGCUUCCUCCUUUUGUUGCAAUCUCUCCAUCUAAAGGUUAGCAUUGCCACGAUAGGAUUUGAUCCUCUUCUUUCCCGACGAUGAUGAACAUAAUUACAUUCUUAACAAGUGAAUUAAAUUACAGCAUGAUUUCUCUAACAAUGAGCGCUCUCCUCGCGAUGGGCUGAAGAGGAGCUGAGCUGCUGGCACGCAGGAGCCCACGCCAUGCUUCAGAAUGAGCUCAGCAAGUUAUUAUUCUGUGCAAGCACGAUGCCCUCCCAGGACAACACUACAGGACGGCAUUUGCUUGGAUAAAACAGUUUGCCAACACUUGCUAUUGAGGAAAUUUGUGGUCUGUGCGUUGGGGAAUGACUCAGUGGAGCCAGGAGCUGUCUGAAAGCCCCCACUGAGGAUUUGCUCUGAGUACAGCCUGCGGGGCUGGUGGGUGGGCAAACAAUGUGGCUCAGGAGCUCCUGUUCAAUAAAAUGAAUUUGUCU